UAUGUGAUCGUCUCUCGCAUAUCAAUAAGCGGAGGAAAAGAAACUAACAAGGAUUCCCCUAGUAACGGCGAGUGAAGCGGGAAGAGCUCAAAUUUGAAAUCUUAAAGGGUUUCCCUUUACGAAUUGUAGUUUAAAGAAGUGUUUUCUGUUGAGGUUUUGGUAAAAGUUCUUUGGAAUAGGACAUCAUAGAGGGUGAGAAUCCCGUAUUUGACCUUUACUUUCAACUUUGUGAUACACUUUCAAAGAGUCGGAUUGUUUGGGAAUGCAGUCCAAAAUGGGUGGUAAAUUUCAUCUAAAGCUAAAUAUUGGCGAGAGACCGAUAGCGAACAAGUACCGUGAGGGAAAGAUGAAAAGAACUUUGAAAAGAGAGUUAAACAGUACGUGAAAUUGUCAAAAGGGAAGCGUUUGACACCAGUGUUGUUUUUCUGAAAAUCAAUUAAAGAACUGUUUAUGCUAAGUUGUUUAGACUUUAUCAGCUAUCUGCUUUAGUUUUGAGCUUUUCUUUAAUGCACUUUUCAGUUAACAAGUCAACAUCAAUUUCUUUUGCUGUAAAAAAGCUUGAGGAAGGUGGCUUGAGAUUCGUCUUAAGUGUUUAUAGCCUCUUGCCUAUGCAGUCGGAGAGAUUGAGGUCUGCAGCGUAGAUCCUUCGGGGCUAAAUGCAUUUGUGCUAAGUUAUAGCAUUUUAUAGACAACUUGUUGACUAUGAUUUGUCUUGUAGCUUACUCGCUUAUGUUAUUUUACCUACGCUUAGGAUGUUGAUCUACAGAGCGAGAGU
rnacentral:rRNA from 1 species